CCUACGGGUGGCAGCAGUGGGGAAUAUUGGACAAUGGGCGAAAGCCUGAUCCAGCCAUGCCGCGUGUGUGAAGAAGGCCUUCGGGUUGUAAAGCACUUUCAGUGGGGAAGAAAGCCUUGGGGCUAAUACCCUCGAGGAAGGACAUCACCCACAGAAGAAGCACCGGCUAACUCCGUGCCAGCAGCCGCGGUAAUAAGGAGGGUGCGAGCGUUAAUCGGAAUUACUGGGCGUAAAGCGCGCGUAGGCGGUCUGAUAAGCCGGUUGUGAAAGCCCCGGGCUCAACCUGGGAACGGCAUCCGGAACUGUCAGGCUAGAGUGCAGGAGAGGAAGGUAGAAUUCCCGGUGUAGCGGUGAAAUGCGUAGAGAUCGGGAGGAAUACCAGUGGCGAAGGCGGCCUUCUGGACUGACACUGACGCUGAGGUGCGAAAGCGUGGGUAGCAAACAGGAUUAGAUACCCCUGUAGUC
rnacentral:rRNA from 1 species